rnacentral:rRNA from 1 species
UACGAAAGGGGCUAGCGUUGUUCGGAAUUACUGGGCGUAAAGCGCACGUAGGCGGCUUUUCAAGUCGGGGGUGAAAUCCCGGGGCUCAACCCCGGAAUUGCCUCCGAAACUGGAUGGCUAGAGGCCGUGAGAGGUGAGUGGAAUUCCGAGUGUAGAGGUGAAAUUCGUAGAUAUUCGGAAGAACACCGGUGGCGAAGGCGACUCACUGGCACGGUUCUGACGCUGAGGUGCGAAAGCGUGGGGAGCAAACAGG